CACGUAGGGCGCAAGCGUUGUCCGGAAUUAUUGGGCGUAAAGAGCUCGUAGGCGGUCUGUUGCGUCCGCUGUGAAAACUCGGGGCUUAACCCCGAGCCUGCAGUGGAUACGGGCAGACUAGAGGUAGGUAGGGGAGAAUGGAAUUCCCGGUGUAGCGGUGAAAUGCGCAGAUAUCAGGAGGAACACCUGUGGCGAAAGCGGCUCACUGGACCACAACUGACGCUGAGGCGCGAAAGCUAGGGGAGCAAACAGG
rnacentral:rRNA from 1 species